AUGAUUUCUUCGGAAUGACGAUUUAGUGACUGAGUGGCGGACGGGUGAGUAACGCGUGGGUAACCUGCCUUAUACAGGGGGAUAACAGUUAGAAAUGACUGCUAAUACCGCAUAAGCGCACAGGAUUGCAUGAUCUGGUGUGAAAAACUCCGGUGGUAUAAGAUGGACCCGCGUCUGAUUAGCUGGUUGGUGAGGUAACGGCCCACCAAGGCGACGAUCAGUAGCCGACCUGAGAGGGUGACCGGCCACAUUGGGACUGAGACACGGCCCAAACUCCUACGGGGGGCAGCAGUGGGGAAUAUUGCACAAUAGGGGAAACCCUGAUGCAGCGACGCCGCGUGAGCGAAGAAGUAUUUCGGUAUGUAAAGCUCUAUCAGCAGGGAAGAAAAAAAUGACGGUACCUGACUAAGAAGCCCCGGCUAACUACGUGCCAGCAGCCGCGGUAAUACGUAGGGGGCAAGCGUUAUCCGGAUUUACUGGGUGUAAAGGGAGCGCAGGCGGUGCGGCAAGUCUGAUGUGAAAGCCCGGGGCUCAACCCCGGGACUGCAUUGGAAACUGUCGUACUUGAGUAUCGGAGAGGUAAGUGGAAUUCCUAGUGUAGCGGUGAAAUGCGUAGAUAUUAGGAGGAACACCAGUGGCGAAGGCGGCUUACUGGACGAUAACUGACGCUGAGGCUCGAAAGCGUGGGGGAGCAAACAGGAUUAGAUACCCUGGUAGUCCACGCCGUAAACGAUGAAUACUAGGUGU
rnacentral:rRNA from 1 species